rnacentral:lncRNA from 1 species
CCAAAUUGUAUGAUGAGAGAAAAUUGAAGCUAAAAAAUAACAGUUUUAUAUUCUAAUUUAAUUAAUCAAAAAAUAAGAAUCUUGCAUGCUUUGUUUUCAUCUUAUUUUUAUUUCAUUAUAUUUUUAAGUAUCUAUCUUUUUUCAUUUUGUCUUGUUUUUCGUUACUUUAUUUUAUGUAUAAUAAUAAUAAUGGAUAAUAUGCAAACCACCCCGAGUCUUUUAGUCCUUUUAUGUCUGUAGUCCAAAUUGGAAGUUUAAAAGUUUAGACUCUCUCUCUCUCCUCUCUCUCUUCCAUAGCCGUCACCCACCGCCAACUUUCUCUCCUCAAGCCCCUUUCUCGUCUCCCCACUCUCCUUCUCGCCAUGUCGAUCCUCCUCAACAACACUUUAUCUCCAAUUUCACUCUCGACGACACGCUCCUCUCCAAACCAGAUUUCUACCUUUCUUCCUCCUUUGCUCUCCACGGCAUCGCUUCUCUUUUCGACUACUCCAUUUACGGCACUGCUCACAGUCGUGCUCCAUUCCGGUCAUCACCUCCGCCGACUGCGUGGGACUUCAGGGUGGUCGAUGCCGAUGGCCGGACGUCCGGCGUCGAUUGCUUGUGCAGGGAGUUUCCUGUAGUUUUAAAAUGGAUAGCGAUCUUUUGGUUUGAUGAAAUCUGUUUUGUCGUGUAUGGUGUGAUGACAGCGUGAUGAUGGCGAGGAUGAAGAGAUUCUUCAAGUGGGUGAUAGAAUUCAUUGUAUUUUCUUGAUUGAUAGUUCAAGAAGAAAAUUGACUCUUCUUUUUCUUCUUCUUGCUAUUUAAUUUAACUUCAAGGAAUCGAAAUAAAUAAAGAAAAAACAUUUUUUUCAAAAAAGAUUUUCUUUGUAGAAAAUGUAUUUUAUAUAUCGUUCUAAAAUUUAUAAAAAUUUCACAGUUUUUAUUUGUUCAAAAAAUAAAUUCUAAUUAUUUGUAAUUUACAUAUAUUAAAAUAAAACAUUUUUUCAGCCCCAGGGUUUCCUUAAUUUUUAUUUUUAUUUUCAAUCGUCUUUUUGUGUAUAAUCAAAAGACACUUUUUUAUUUUUAUUUUUAUUUUCUUUUUCUUUUUCAGUGCUUAGCAACAGAUUUGGUAAUUAUGUUCGUGGGACGAAAUCAUAAGAAAAAGAAUUCUGGGGAGCUGGAAAAGGAAAUUAAUGAUAGAGUUUGAAAUCAUACGAAAAUUAUGAUUGUAUUCGAAAAAUUUUUAAAAUAUGUUUUUAGUAUUUUUAUUUGUGCUUAAUAUUCUACAAACAGACAGCCUAAUACAUAUGUUUAUAAA